UUUAAUCCGUGAAAGAUUUCAUUGAAAAAAAAGGCGGUAAAGUUUAGCUAGUAGUAUUUUUUGGAAAAGUUUACUUCAUUAAAAUAAAUAAAUAAAUAAAUACUUUGCUGUUUAAGGAAAAUAUAUGAAAUUUAGUUUUGGAUUUGUUUUAGAUCGUAGCAUGUUGUCCUUAACUUUUUAUGUUUUAAAUAGCAGGGGGUUUUUUUCCUCAUAAAAAACCAAGAUUCUUCUACGAUCUUUAAGGGGUUUUACUGUUUUUUAAAGUCUAUAUUUCUUCAGAAAAACAUUUUGGAUUAUAUGGGUGAAAAUAUCUAAUAUUUUUCCUAGCAAAAGAAGAUGGCACCACAGACCUGACACUGAACCUGGAGAUGAGGACCUUCCUUUUUCUGAUGUCCUCCAGGAGAUCUGAGAAGGAUGGUCGACCCUGAGCCGUCUGCAGGAAGAUAAACGAGAGUUAAUUCAUCUCUUGUACUUCGAUUUAACUUUGUUUAUAACUCUGCAUCGUUGAGUGAGCCGUGGACCUCGUG